rnacentral:rRNA from 1 species
GACAGAGGUGCCGAGCGUUAGGCGGAAUCACUGGGCUUAAAGCGUGUGUAGGCGGGCCGUUAAGUACCUUGUGAAAUCCCCCGGCUCAACCGGGGAACUGCUGGGUAUACUGGCGCCUUGAGCGGCCUGAGGGGCAGAGUGGAACAGAACGGUGGAGCGGUGAAAUGCGUAGAUAUCGGUCUGGAACGCCAAAGGUGAAAACAGUCUGCUGGGGGCUUGCUGACGCGUGAGACACGAAAGCCAGGGGAGCGAACGGG